UUGUGAACAGUGUCAUUACUUUUCAAAGCGAAGUUUUCAUUUUUAAUUUUCUUUGAGUUUGGUUUCUUUUGAUUUUUACAACUAAUUGUUCAUGAACAAUUAACCGAAAGUUAAAUGAAUUUCUAAGUUUGUGCCAAAAUAUAUUGCCUAAAAAGUGUUUAAAAACAGAUCGAAAGGAAAACAAUACAAAAAAUACACAUUAAACAAAACACGGAGAAGAAGCAUAUGUGCUUCACAAAGAACGAAGAAAGCAACAAACAAAAUUAUUACAAAUUAGGAAAAAAACUUGUGUAAAUGUGAAGAAAAGCUACAACAAAUAUAUUCUCUGAGGUCUGCAAAAGAAUUGUGUGUUGCGCUAAAAAAGUGUCGACCAACAAGACGAAGAACGACGAAGAGAGAAAACAACAGUAUCAAAGACCACAAACUGCUAAAAUCAAUCAAGAAAAUAAAUAUAAGCUGUUGAGAAAAAAAGCUGGAAAACAUUACUGCAACUUUCAACUACGUCAUACAAG
rnacentral:sRNA from 1 species